UUUGUUGAAAAUGACCAGAAAAGGGAAAAUUGAACUGAUACCAAGAUUCCCUAAUCUCCCUGUUCUGUUGAAUUUAUAGCUGUGCUCAUGUUGGUUUAUUAUUUAAAUUUUAUUUUCUUAAAAGCAAUUGUAUCAUGGAGCUAGAAUGGCACAUGAAAUGUAGUCCAAGGUAAAUUAAAAGUACUUAAAUUCAAUCGUUAUCAUCUGAUUAUAACUAAGUGCAUUAGACAGCUCAGUAUCCUUGCAAACAGUAUAUUAAGAUGAUCAGUCUUCAGCACUGUUCACUUCAUCUUGCUGCUAUUAUGAAUCACUUUUAUAAGAAAAUGAGCUCUUGAUUUCUAGGUACAGAGGGGAAAAAAAAAAAAAAGGAGUUGUCAGUGCCAUUAUAGCAAGGCACCUCUUGCUUGAUUUCUCCACUGGAUUGAUGGCUGCUGCUACAAGGUGGAAUAAUGAAGCAUUACCAUGACCUCUGAGAAGGGAAUCAUUUUAAUAAAAAUUUCAGUAGAUGUUGCCCCCUCUUUACCGGAGAAGUCUGCAGUAAACGAGAGUGUUAUGUGGGGGAGCAUGGCACUUGAUCCCGUAAUGGUUUGGCAGAAGGAGAUUAGAAUCACCACAGAGCUGCACAGGUCAUCUCAGUUUCUUUCUGACCCUUGCUUUUCAAGCACAUGAGCUUUCAAGGAAGAGAGGAUUCGAUUCUUCAGCCAUAUUUUCAGUCUCAGGAGCUAUUCAUGUGGUACCGAGGCAUAAUUCACUUUGAGACACUCAUCUUGAAAGAAAUGUGAGUGUUUAAAGUAUCAGAAAACCAACCAAUUGUAUAAAAUUGUGGAAAGAUUUCAACCCAAGAGGUUUGUUAUGAGAGUUUAUUUGUGGAGCACAAGAACUGGAGUCCAGAGAAUCCUUUGGCUCCUGGAGUCCAGAGAAGAGAUUUUAAUGAAAAGUGAUCAGGGAAAAGUACCUAAUACAUUCUAUCAAGGUUCCUCUUGUUUCCUUGUCUUUCAGUUUAAACCACAAGGUACUCUUACAGGUCUCAGUAUUGCAUCAAGUUUUGAUGUCAGCUCAAGAUAUCCAUCUAUUCCAGAUGUAAAACAGUUUAACCUGGAGACCAAUGAUGGACUUAAAUUUAGAACAUAGAAGUCAACUAAAGGUAUGUAGUAGGUAUGUAAAGUGUGGUUUACAUAAAGAUAUUUACAUACGUGUUUACAUAAAGGUAUCUAAAGGUAGGUAUGUAGUGGUUGUAAUGGAGACUACAGGAACAGUCCACAAAAGAUUAAUUGCAGAAGACUUAAUGCAUUUGAGAGAAAUAAUCAGAUGUUAAUUACAGUGCUAUUCCUCAAAAAAAAAAAAAAAAAAUUGUUCAUGUCUUCUUUGUUUUAAUAUGCAGGGGUCUGCCAUUUGAAGGCUUUCAUAUGGAACAUGAUUGCGUCAAAGAAAUGCUAAGUUAAAAAUUACUCAAUGCAUUUGUUGUAAAAAUGGUAUCACGAAGGAUUUUAUUGGUUAAGGAAGGAAUAUAUUUGGAUAUAUGUAUAUAUGUACAUAUGUAUCCCUCUUAUUGAAGGGGUUCUGAAUUGCAGCGUGGAAUACUCUAGUAGUACCCUGUAGUGUACACUUAUCAGAAUGCACUGACUUAUAACUGUUUUCAGCAACUUUUCAUGAUCUCACCUACUGUUCACCUCAAGUAUUUAGACACUUAAUAUCUGUAAUGAAAAAAAAGGUUAUUUUAUAAAAAAAUUAAUUAUGAUACAGUUUUCUGAUCCUGCAUUUUCACACACCUUUGGAGUUUUACAUUAUACCAUAACAAUUUAUGCAUUUAGAAG